UACGAAGGGGGCUAGCGUUGCUCGGAAUCACUGGGCGUAAAGGGCGCGUAGGCGGCGCGGUAAGUCACUUGUGAAAUCUCUGAGCUUAACUCAGAACGGCCAAGUGAUACUGCAGUGCUAGAGUGCAGAAGGGGCAAUCGGAAUUCUUGGUGUAGCGGUGAAAUGCGUAGAUAUCAGGAGGAACACCGGUGGCGAAGGCGGGUCUCUGGGCCGAUACUGACGCUGAGGAGCGAAAGCGUGGGGAGCGAACAGG
rnacentral:rRNA from 1 species